UACAGAGGGUGCAAGCGUUAAUCGGAAUUACUGGGCGUAAAGCGUGUGUAGGCUGCUACAUAAGUCGGAUGUGAAAGCCCCGGGCUCAACCCGGGAAGUGCACUCGAUACUGCGUAGCUUGAGUCUCGGAGAGGUUGGUGGAAUUCUCGGUGUAGAGGUGAAAUUCGUAGAUAUCGAGAGGAACACCGGUGGCGAAGGCGGCCAACUGGACGAAGACUGACGCUGAGACACGAAAGCGUGGGGAGCAAACAGG
rnacentral:rRNA from 1 species